ACCCUCUCAGGGUCACACCUGGAGAGUUUCCAGUCCUCUACCAAUCUCGACUAUAGGAGGGAGAGUCAAGCAGAGGCAUAUCCAUUCCAUUCCUAGUUUGGCUAGUGGCUAGUCAGUGGAAUAUAAUCUGCUACAAGU